rnacentral:misc_RNA from 1 species
GAUGAAGAACGUAGCGAAAUGCGAUACGUAAUGUGAAUUGCAAAUUCAGUGAAUCAUCGAGUCUUUGAACGCACAUUGCGCCCCCUGGUAUUCCGGGGGGCAUGCCUGUCCGAGCGUCAUUGCUGCCCUCAAGCACGGCUUGUGUGUUGGGCACCGUCCUCCGAUUCCGGGGGACGGGCCCGAAAGGCAGCGGCGGCACCGCGUCCGGUCCUCGAGCGUAUGGGGCUUUGUCACCCGCUCUGUAGGCCCGGCCGGCGCUUGCCGAUCAACCCAAAUUUUUAUCCAGGUUGACCUCGGAUCAGGUAGGGAUACCCGCUGAACUUAAGCAUAUCAAUAAGCGGAGGA